AAGGACUUAAGUUAAAUAAACUGAAAGCCUUCAAAGCUUUAAACAAGAAUUGGAAACUUCUUAGUCCUUG
rnacentral:tRNA from 15 species